CAAUAGCGUAUAUUAAAGUUGUUGCAGUUAAAAAGCUCGUAGUUGAACUUCUGGCGUUCCCGCAGUCCCUUCUGGGACUAUACGGGGGCGUCAUCCGCUUGGAAAGGCAUUCUGUGGGAAACCACGUGUGUCGGAACAGGCAUUUUACUUUGAAGAAAUUAGAGUGUUCCAGGCAGGCCUUUGCUUGAAUAUAUCAGCAUGGAAUAAUGGAAUAGGAUUACUCCUUUGGUUUUAGGAGUUUUAAUGAUUAACAGGGACAGUUGGGGGCAUUCGUAUUCAUUUGUCAGAGGUGGAAUUCUUGGAUUAGAUGAAGACGAACUAAUGCGAAAGCAUUUGCCAAGGAUGUUUUCAUUAA
rnacentral:rRNA from 1 species